GUUUUUGGAGCUGGUUUAGAUUGACAUUCAUAGCAUUCUGUUUUACCUUUCACAUGUACCGUGACCUGGCCAAGGAAGCCUGUAGUCCCACUUUCAACUAAUGGGACACCAGAUGCCAAACAAAGGCGAUUCACAUGUCGCCUAGCAUCUAGAUUGUCAAGACCAUUAAGCACAACAUUGAAUUGCUUGAAAAAAUCCACAUUGAACUCUGGAUCUUUUACAUUUGCAUGGUAUGGUGUAAUUUU
rnacentral:misc_RNA from 1 species